rnacentral:tRNA from 1 species
AUUGUUUAGGCGGAUUUAGCGCAUUAGAUUUAGGAUCUAAUUAUGAGUAGGUUCAGGCAAUA